GACGAACGCUGGCGGCGUGCUUAACACAUGCAAGUCGAACGAUGAUGCCCAGCUUGCUGGGUGGAUUAGUGGCGAACGGGUGAGUAACACGUGAGUAACCUGCCCCUGACUCUGGGAUAAGCGUUGGAAACGACGUCUAAUACUGGAUAUGACUGCCGGCCGCAUGGUCUGGUGGUGGAAAGAUUUUUUGGUUGGGGAUGGACUCGCGGCCUAUCAGCUUGUUGGUGAGGUAAUGGCUCACCAAGGCGACGACGGGUAGCCGGCCUGAGAGGGUGACCGGCCACACUGGGACUGAGACACGGCCCAGACUCCUACGGGAGGCAGCAGUGGGGAAUAUUGCACAAUGGGCGAAAGCCUGAUGCAGCAACGCCGCGUGAGGGAUGACGGCCUUCGGGUUGUAAACCUCUUUUAGUAGGGAAGAAGCGUAAGUGACGGUACCUGCAGAAAAAGCACCGGCUAACUACGUGCCAGCCGCCGCAGUAACAC
rnacentral:rRNA from 1 species